rnacentral:rRNA from 1 species
AGCUUGCUACCUGACCUAGCGGCGGACGGGUGAGUAAUGCUUAGGAAUCUGCCUAUUAGUGGGGGACAACAUUCCGAAAGGAAUGCUAAUACCGCAUACGCCCUAUGGGGGAAAGCAGGGGAUCUUCGGACCUUGCGCUAAUAGAUGAGCCUAAGUCAGAUUAGCUAGUUGGUGGGGUAAAGGCCUACCAAGGCGGCGAUCUGUAGCGGGUCUGAGAGGAUGAUCCGCCACACUGGGACUGAGACACGGCCCAGACUCCUACGGGAGGCAGCAGUGGGGAAUAUUGGACAAUGGGCGAAAGCCUGAUCCAGCCAUGCCGCGUGUGUGAAGAAGGCCUUUUGGUUGUAAAGCACUUUAAGCGAGGAGGAGGCUACUUGGAUUAAUACUCUAGGAUAGUGGACGUUACUCGCAGAAUAAGCACCGGCUAACUCUGUGCCAGCAGCCGCGGUAAUACAGAGGGUGCGAGCGUUAAUCGGAUUUACUGGGCGUAAAGCGUGCGUAGGCGGCUUUUUAAGUCGGAUGUGAAAUCCCUGAGCUUAACUUAGGAAUUGCAUUCGAUACUGGGAAGCUAGAGUAUGGGAGAGGAUGGUAGAAUUCCAGGUGUAGCGGUGAAAUGCGUAGAGAUCUGGAGGAAUACCGAUGGCGAAGGCAGCCAUCUGGCCUAAUACUGACGCUGAGGUACGAAAGCAUGGGGAGCAAACAGGAUUAGAUACCCUGGUAGUCCAUGCCGUAAACGAUGUCUACUAGCCGUUGGGGCCUUUGAGGCUUUAGUGGCGCAGCUAACGCGAUAAGUAGACCGCCUGGGGAGUACGGUCGCAAGACUAAAACUCAAAUGAAUUGACGGGGGCCCGCACAAGCGGUGGAGCAUGUGGUUUAAUUCGAUGCAACGCGAAGAACCUUACCUGGUCUUGACAUAGUAAGAACUUUCCAGAGAUGGAUUGGUGCCUUCGGGAACUUACAUACAGGUGCUGCAUGGCUGUCGUCAGCUCGUGUCGUGAGAUGUUGGGUUAAGUCCCGCAACGAGCGCAACCCUUUUCCUUAUUUGCCAGCGGGUUAAGCCGGGAACUUUAAGGAUACUGCCAGUGACAAACUGGAGGAAGGCGGGGACGACGUCAAGUCAUCAUGGCCCUUACGACCAGGGCUACACACGUGCUACAAUGGUCGGUACAAAGGGUUGCUACCUAGCGAUAGGAUGCUAAUCUCAAAAAGCCGAUCGUAGUCCGGAUUGGAGUCUGCAACUCGACUCCAUGAAGUCG